GCCUCCUAUCACACCCAAUUUAGACCGUCCACAGUUACAUUACCACAAAUCCUAGUAUAAAGAGAGGCAGUUUUCGAUUUUUUGAUUUUAAUUUAAAUUUUUUCAAUGGCAAUUAUGAUUUCUUUUAUUACAAAAGUUGUUCAAUAUAUUCAUUUUGAUUUUGGUGGAUGUUAGUAGAUUUUGGUUUUAAUUUUAAUUUUUUCACUGGCCACAAGAUACUUUUGAUCUC
rnacentral:lncRNA from 1 species